AAAUUGAAGAGUUUGAUCAUGGCUCAGAUUGAACGCUGGCGGCAGGCCUAACACAUGCAAGUCGAACGGUAGCAGGAAGCAGCUUGCUGCUUCGCUGACGAGUGGCGGACGGGUGAGUAAUGUCUGGGAAACUGCCUGAUGGAGGGGGAUAACUACUGGAAACGGUAGCUAAUACCGCAUAACGUCGCAAGACCAAAGAGGGGGACCUUCGGGCCUCUUGCCAUCGGAUGUGCCCAGAUGGGAUUAGCUUGUUGGUGGGGUAACGGCUCACCAA
rnacentral:rRNA from 1 species